GCCUCUGUAGCUCAGUGGCAGAGUAUGUACUGGUCUUGUAAACGAGGGGACGUGAUUUCAAUCCUCACAGCAGUCA